rnacentral:rRNA from 1 species
AACGAACGCUGGCGGCAUGCCUAACACAUGCAAGUCGAACGAGAUCUUCGGGUCUAGUGGCGCACGGGUGCGUAACGCGUGGGCAUCUGCCCUUUGGUUCGGAAUCACAGUUGGAAACGACUGCUAAUACCGGAUGAUGACGAAAGUCCAAAGAUUUAUCUCCAGAGGAUGAGCCCGCGUAGGAUUAGCAAGUUGUUGUGGUAAAGGCGCACCAAGGCGACGAUCCUUAGCUGGUCUGAGAGGAUGAGCAGCCACACUGGGACUGGGAACCGGCCCAGACUCCUACGGGAGGCAGCAGUGGGGAAUAUUGGACAAUGGGCGAAAUCCUGAUCCAGCAAUGCCGCGUGAGUGAUGAAGGCCUUAGGGUUGUAAAGCUCUUUUACCCGGGAUGAUAAUGACAGUACCGGGAGAAUAAGCUCCGGCUAACUCCGUGCCAGCCGCCGCAGUAA